rnacentral:rRNA from 1 species
AUACGUAUGGUGCAAGCGUUAUCCGGAUUUACUGGGUGUAAAGGGAGCGUAGGUGGCAAGGCAAGCCAGAAGUGAAAACCCGGGGCUCAACCGCGGGAUUGCUUUUGGAACUGUCAUGCUAGAGUGCAGGAGGGGUGAGCGGAAUUCCUAGUGUAGCGGUGAAAUGCGUAGAUAUUAGGAGGAACACCGGAGGCGAAGGCGGCUCACUGGACUGUAACUGACACUGAGGCUCGAAAGCGUGGGGAGC